UAGAUUGCACUGCAUUUCCUCACUCUGUUAGUGACACAGUCUACAGCAGGCUACUAGAGUAACAGGGAAAGAUAACUAUACACAAGGGUUACUCAAAAUGGACAAAAUACAGUUUACUUUUCCCUGUCUGAUUGUCCUUUUGGGUCUCGUCCUGGCUUCUACCACCACAGCCCAGACACAGCCAGUCAAUCCCACUGUAACCCAGCCCACCUCAGCCUCCAACCCAGCCAACGACACAGCACUCCAGGACAUACCACGGCUGUAGACAACAAUGAUUUAACAUUAUCCGCCAUAACCCAAGCCUUCCUGAUCUCAUUUUUGAUAACGUCCCUAUAACCAAUUCCACCGGAGGCCUAACCACACGGUAACCACACCACUGAAGACCAGUUCAGAUGCACUCCAGGACCUACAUCCUGGCCCUCAACAAUGGACGUCUCUACCUCAAAGCCCCCAGCAGAGCCAGCAGCACCAACUGCUAGCACAACUGCUAGCACAACUGCUACUAGCACCACCAAGAAUACAGGUUUGGCGGGAACUGCUCAACCAAAACCCUCUGCGGGAAAAUCGCCCCACUUUGGAUUGAUCAUCUUAAUUGUGAUCAUCUUUAUUGUGAUCAUCAUCACUGCCUGGUGGCUUGGAGCAGCAUGCGUCUUACAAAGAAGAA